rnacentral:rRNA from 1 species
UACGUAGGGUGCGAGCGUUGUCCGGAAUUAUUGGGCGUAAAGGGCUCGUAGGCGGUUUGUCGCGUCGGGGGUGAAAUCCACUGGCUUAACUGGUGGCUUGCUUUCGAUACGGGCAGACUGGAGGUAUGCAGGGGAGAACGGAAUUCCUGGUGUAGCGGUGAAAUGCGCAGAUAUCAGGAGGAACACCGGUGGCGAAGGCGGCAUCCUGGACCGGCAUUGACGCUGAGGCGCGAAAGCCAGGGGAGCAAACGGG